CUCAGGGAGGGGGGGUUCCCUCAGCCCGGAUUGUGAGAGGGCACAGGCCAGGCUGAGAGACCCCACCGGUGCAUG
rfam:Myotis lucifugus cont2.49372, whole genome shotgun sequence.